GUCCUGGGACUGGAUGGAUGGAUGGAUGGGUGUCAGAGCUGGGAUGCUGUCCUGAUGACCAAAAGCUUAGGUGGACACAGAGCCCUGGGCUCCCUCACGAGGAAUUCACUGGGGAACAAAAAAGUGAGGCACUGAGGACACCUGCAGUGUGAGUCCGGACAGGCACACUGACACAGCGGAACAGACGCGGCAGAACCGACACGGCGGAACGGACGCGGAUGAUGCAGAGCCCCUCUCAGGAUGGCCAGCCAUUCCUC
rnacentral:lncRNA from 10 species